rnacentral:rRNA from 1 species
AAACGGGGUCUAAUACCGGAUAAUACUUUUCCCUGCAUGGGGGAAGGUUGAAAGCUCCGGCGGUGCAGGAUGAGCCCGCGGCCUAUCAGCUUGUUGGUGGGGUGAUGGCCUACCAAGGCGACGACGGGUAGCCGGCCUGAGAGGGCGACCGGCCACACUGGGACUGAGACACGGCCCAGACUCCUACGGGAGGCAGCAGUGGGGAAUAUUGCACAAUGGGCGAAAGCCUGAUGCAGCGACGCCGCGUGAGGGAUGACGGCCUUCGGGUUGUAAACCUCUUUCAGCAGGGAAGAAGCGCAAGUGACGGUACCUGCAGAAGAAGCACCGGCUAACUACGUGCCAGCAGCCGCGGUAAUACGUAGGGUGCGAGCGUUGUCCGGAAUUAUUGGGCGUAAAGAGCUCGUAGGCGGCUUGUCACGUCGGUUGUGAAAGCCCGGGGCUUAACCCCGGGUCUGCAGUCGAUACGGGCAGGCUAGAGUGUGGUAGGGGAGAUCGGAAUUCCUGGUGUAGCGGUGAAAUGCGCAGAUAUCAGGAGGAACACCGGUGGCGAAGGCGGAUCUCUGGGCCAUUACUGACGCUGAGGAGCGAAAGCGUGGGGAGCGAACAGGAUUAGAUACCCUGGUAGUCCACGCCGUAAACGUUGGGAACUAGGUGUUGGCGACAUUCCACGUCGUC